ensembl:lncRNA
GGAAUUAGAUCUCAACCCGUUUCCCAUGUCCCCCGUAGAAACUAACACAAGGCCUAUUGGGAAGUGGAUUCAGCUGUGCUUUAGAACUGCCUAAAACCCCUUCCAGGGGCGCCCCUCCAUCCCCUUGCCGGACCACCAGCCCAGUAGACCAGGUUGGGGGAGGCAGUCCCCAGCUCACCAGGCAAUCUCUUCCAAAGGGCUCCAGGGGCUUCUAACAUGCAACUAGGGCUGAGAACAGCUGCUAAGAUGAAAAAGGGGGUGGUAGUGGAUUACAGUUUCUCAGUUACCUGUUUUGCGCGGCAACACUGCCCGUGCAACCACCAAGCCAUGCUGGAUGGGCAGCAAGAACCCUACAGGUGAAAGAAUGCAAGAAACCACUCCAGUUUCCCACAAGUUCUCUGGCUACCAUGUCAGACGCCUCCUGAGCAAACAGCCCAUCAGCGAGUGGCCCCCUUCGCCGGAGCUACUAAGACAGCAGUCACCCGUUCAUCAGCAGCCCCAGCCCAGACCUGCAGAGUCAGAAGGGCUGGAGCACAGCAGUCCUCUUCCCCAGGCACAUCUGAGAAGCCUGAUUCAAUUUGGGAAGACCACCCACCAGGCACUCCACCCCCCCACUCUGAAUCAUCCCAGGAUUUGAUCCACUUUGCAAAGGUGGCUUUCCUUUUCUAAAAAGGCUGCACCCACUGGGGUGUGCACAGGGCUCCUGCGUCAGCGAGGUGGAGACUCUACCUGCAAACAGAUGAGAGGCCUCAGGACUGAGAGGCUGCACAAAGGGACCUUUAAAACCGACAAGGAAAUUAGCUCUUGCUCUGGCCCUAAGGAAGCUGGAUCAGGACUAAAGAUAUCUAGUCAGUUUCUACAAAUAUCUGCUCCUCAGAGAGGCUUAUGGAGCCCCCCAGUACUGCCACCAAUCUCCACCUCCAUCUCUUGAUCCUACUGUAAUUUUCUUUCAUGGCACUUAUCACUUCUGGAAAUUGUAUGGAUAUCUGUUGUCUAUUAAUUAUCAGCCUCCACCGAUAGAAUAUCAGCACAAGGACAGGAAUCUUGCAUUUGGUUCACUUCUAGAGCAGUAGGACUUAGAGUAGACCAGCAUGUAAUAGGGAGUAAUCAGUAUUUGUUGAAUGAAUGAAGGAAUGAAUGCAUGACAGCACACACACUCCAGCAGAGCAAGAACUGGCUCGCUCCGCUCUGUGAGCUCACCUCACGCUGCCUGGUAAGCAGGCAGAGCCUUAAAGUCUCCUUGAAUCAAUGAACAAGGUGCAAGCUUGUUUUUAAACUAUGAGCCCCAACACCUACACAAUACUUCAUCCAGACUGCCCUUUAUCAGGCUGAGCAGUUGCCAGGCUAUUGCUCAGUGCGUGUGUAAAAGGAGCCAAGGGGAUGCUGAACAUUUUAAAGGUUGACAAACAUUAUUCCAAAAGUAUGGCUUCGCAUUUGGCCAGAGGUUAAAACCUGGAGAACCCGAGGUAAUAAAGGACUCCCAAUCCUGAAGGAGGGUUGCAGCUUGUAGGGUAUUUGUCUUCCUCCUCACUCACUCACUCCUCCUGGUUCCAAAUACCAUUAUUUACCAUCACAGCAGUAAGAGGUCACGGCCAACCAAAUUCCAUUAUAACGCUCAAAUUGUACCUUUGCUUGCACUUAGGUUAAAUUUAGA